GGCUCGGUAGCGGAGGGUCCGCGUCUGCUGUCAGUGGCCAAGAGCAACGAGAUUAGUAUGCAGAGCAUGCCUGUUCGACUCAGGCCCGAGCCA